CUGGCUGUGUGGGAGCUGAGGAGAGCAGACUGUUGGCAUCUGCCAUGGUGGCCCCGGCAACUCAACAACGACACACAUCAGGCUUUCAGCAGACUAAAGAGGCUGAAUUUUUACCAUUAGCAUCCAGUGCAAGGAUAUCUGCAGCAUGCAGAAUCUCCACUGUUAGUCUUUGCUCCGGAGCAUCAUAGUAGCACUUCACGCUGAUCCGACCAUAACAG